UACGGAGAGUGCAAGCAUUAAUCGGAAUUAUUGGGCGUAAAGGGCGCGUAGGCGGCUUUGCAAGUCUUGUGUGAAAUUUCGGAGCUCAACUCCGAAGCUGCACAGGAAACUGCAGAACUUGAGGUUUGGCGGAGAAAAUGGAAUUCCACGUGUAGCGGUGAAAUGCGUAGAUAUGUGGAAGAACACCGGUGGCGAAAGCGAUUUUCUAGCUUAUACCUGACGCUGAGGCGCGAGAGCAUGGGGAG
rnacentral:rRNA from 1 species